rnacentral:rRNA from 1 species
UACGUAGGGGGCUAGCGUUGUCCGGAAUCCUUGGGCGUAAAGCGCGUGUAGGCGGCCCGGUAAGUCCGCUGUGAAAGUCGGGGGCUCAACCCUCGGAUGCCGGUGGAUACUGUCGGGCUCGAGUACGGAAGAGGCGAGUGGAAUUCCUGGUGUAGCGGUGAAAUGCGCAGAUAUCAGGAGGAACACCAAUUGCGAAGGCAGCUCGCUGGGACGUUACUGACGCUGAGACGCGAAAGCGUGGGGAGCAAACAGG